rnacentral:tRNA from 5 species
GCGGACGUGGCGGAAUUGGUAGACGCGCUGGAUUUAGGUUCCAGUAUCUUGCGAUGUGAGAGUUCAAGUCUCUCCGUCCGCACCA